CAAAGGUCUCUGUAAACAGCACACAACCCUUUGUAUAUUCCAGCUUUAUCAUUUGACACUUGAGUGCCAGAGUCUGGGCUCAUCUGCAUAAAGCAAGCCUACAGGUGAACAAGAUCAUUUAAACCCACCCCAAUACAUCAGUGAACUGUCUAAGAUACUAAACACGUGUAGCAGAGUGCAGCUGAAAACAUGCCAAAAGAAAGCCAAAUGGAAGUCAACAGGUUGCUGAAUUUUAUUCCCCCAGAAUCAAAACGUUGAUGGCGUUCUCUGUCAGAAAGUCUGAGCAGUGUGACGCACAGGAAUGUGUUCAGUUGGCAGGUGGGCAGAGCCAGAUGCCAUUUCAUGUGUACUGUUCACCAGUCUUAUUUCCCAAAUUAUGCUCCAAACAACCAUGCAAAUAUAUUCUCCCAACUUUUUCUGUCAACACUGAGGUUUAGCUGAUAUAGGUCGCAAUUUUCUAAACAAAGAAUCAAUAACACCAUCAGACAACUAUCUGUCUGGCAAAGUAAACAUUCUAAACAGAAAGCAAUUCCUGCCCACGAUGCAGACCUUCAGACCCUAAGUCUACAUAAACUGUAACAUAAAAGCAAUGCUGCCUUUAAAUUGGACAAAGCGACUGCAGAAUGUCCAAUGCUUACACAAUGCAUGAUGGCUGUGACCUCGUCCUAAGAGUCUGCUUCUCUCUGGACUUUAUAGCUUGUUGGCUGUGUCUGGCCAUUAUUAGCAGCCCAAUCUCCCUCAGCUUUAUUGAUAACAUUAUUAUUGCUACUUGGCUGACUUCUCCGAGUUGGACAGCUGAAUUUCAAAUGAAAGGAUAUGCUCUCUUUUGAACACUUUGCUGCAGUCAAUAUCUUUCUGUUUUUUUGCUCUAGAGAACUGUGUGAUCUCUUUUUCAACUUUUUUCCUGGUAUAACUGGACAAAGCUUCAUAGUAUUGUCACUUUGUAAUAAAUUGUGAUAGCCUUUUGAUGAAAUUAUUUUUAAUUCCACUUCACGAUGGACCACUCUUCACUAAGACAGGAUUUGUAGUAUGGCUUGUUUAUUGUGCAGACUGAAUUUGGUCAUUUCAAGAAAUGACCAAAUUCUGGUAUAAUGUGUAUGGUAUAUAUAGACCAGUUGACCUUAAAAAAUAGGAAUCCAUACUGCAUUAGUUCCUAAAAUGAUUUGUACCUCUAUCUUCUGGAGACAAAUUCUGAUAAUGCCACAGCCAUAUAUACUGUAUAUAGGCCUUGAAUCAUCUGCUGUCUGGGAUGUAUGUGCAUGUGUGAACUGCAUUCUGCCUCUAUGAAUAUAUAUAUAUACAUAUCCUUCAUUUUCUACCGCUUAUCCGAACUUCUUGGGUCACGGGGAGCCUGUGCCUAUCUCAGGCAUCAUCGGGCAUCAAGGCAGGAUACACCCUGGACAGAGUGCCAAUAUAUAUAUACAGUCACUAUAUAUUCACCAAGAACAUAUAAGCAGUUUGAGUUUAUUUCUGAUAUUAGCUACUAUUGAUUGGGAGGUUUUGAUUAAUGUUUGGGUUCAGCAGCUAACUAAACUAGCAAUUAUUCAUCUUUUUGGCUAGGAAAUAAUCAUAUGACAUCCAGCUCUAAUCAUGACCUGCAAGCUAUAGUUGAAAUAUAAACAUAAAAUAAAAAAGGCCAAUUGAGACAUAGAGAUGGGUUUUUGUCACUUCAGGAUAUGUCAGAGCUCUGCCAGAGAUCUUAAUCAUUUUAUCUAUAUUUGACACAAUAAAUAAUUUUAGAUAACAAAUCUGUCUUUUCAUAUUGGUCAAUUUAAUAAGCAAAUGAAAUGCGCUAUGAAGCCGUUCUAUAAUAGAGAGACAUUGGAUUGAUCUCUACAAGCUUUAUAAAAGUGCUCCAUUUCCAUUACAGCCACUACCUUCUGAGGUAUCCCCAGGUGAAAAAGGGGUAACAGCCAAGAAGAGUUCUCAGUAUUCUCACACAAAUCGAGAGUUUGGGGUUUUAGAUAAGGAGAACUUUGAGGUGGUAUUAGUGAUGCAGUGCUACUGCAGAGUAAAUAAAUAUAGAAAUAACAAAAUGCCAUCUAUUUUUAUCAGCACAUUGCUGGCUACUCAUGUGUCCAUACACAACCAAAGAAGAAAAGGGAGGAACUCCCUUCAUUUCUGUUCUCUGUUCUUUUCAGGAAUGCUUUUGGCAAACUUCUGAAUUUUGCUUUAAUAAAGUCUCUGGUCUAUCUUCCGUUUCUCUCUUUUGGUUUCCUUCACUCUCUGUCACCAUCUUAUUCACUCUGUCUAUUUUUGCUUGUAGCUGUCUAUCUCUUCUCUCUCUCUCUCUCUCUCUCUCUCUCUCUCUCUCUCUCUCUCUCUCUCUCUCUCUCUCUCUCUCUCCUUCUUCCUCUUCUUCUCUCCCAACUCCCGGCUUUGAGGCAAAAUCCUUCUGGGUCCCAAUUAAGACUCAAAGCUGCUGUUCUCUGUAUGAUAACAGCACCAAGUGCUGACAACAUGCUACCUGUCAACAAGAGCAUCAACAGCCGCCAUCUGUUCAUGGGAAAAUUGUCUUCAUUACACACAAACUCCAGAAUGCAGUUCACACAUGCACAGACAUCCCAGAUAGCAGAUGAUUCAAGGCCAAAUAUCGCUGAGUUAGAGCACAUAAGGACCAGUUAUGGCAGUGGCAAGUGUAGUGUAGGCCAAAAGUGAGCCAGAUGUAAGCAUAUACUCAUGGGAAUAUGGCUCUAAAGCAUUAUAUAUAUACAGUACACACCACCUUUU